GUUUCCGUAGUGUAGCGGUUAUCACGUCUGCUUCACACGCAGAAAGUCCUCGGUUCGAUCCCGGGCGGGAACA
rnacentral:tRNA from 1 species